GCAGCGGCGGACGGGUGAGUAAUGCCUAGGAAUCUGCCUGGUAGUGGGGGACAACGUCUCGAAAGGGACGCUAAUACCGCAUACGUCCUACGGGAGAAAGUGGGGGCUCUUCGGACCUCACGCUAUCAGAUGAGCCUAGGUCGGAUUAGCUAGUUGGUGAGGUAAUGGCUCACCAAGGCGACGAUCCGUAACUGGUCUGAGAGGAUGAUCAGUCACACUGGAACUGAGACACGGUCCAGACUCUAUACGGGAGGCAGCAGUGGGGAAUAUUGGACAAUGGGCGAAAGCCUGAUCCAGCCAUGCCGCGUGUGUGAAGAAGGUCUUCGGAUUGUAAAGCACUUUAAGUUGGGAGGAAGGGUUGUACGUUAAUACCGUGCAAUUUUGACGUUACCGACAGAAUAAGCACCGGCUAACUCUGUGCCAGCAGCCGCGGUAAUACAGAGGGUGCAAGCGUUAAUCGGAAUUACUGGGCGUAAAGCGCGCGUAGGUGGUUUGUUAAGUUGGAUGUGAAAUCCCCGGGCUCAACCUGGGAACUGCAUCCAAAACUGGCAAGCUAGAGUAGGGCAGAGGGUGGUGGAAUU
rnacentral:rRNA from 1 species